rnacentral:rRNA from 1 species
UACGUAGGGGGCAAGCGUUGUCCGGAUUUAUUGGGCGUAAAGAGCGUGUAGGCGGCCAGACAGGUCCGUUGUGAAAACUCGAGGCUCAACCUCGAGACGCCGAUGGAAACCGUCUGGCUAGAGUCCGGAAGAGGAGAGUGGAAUUCCUGGUGUAGCGGUGAAAUGCGCAGAUAUCAGGAGGAACACCGAUGGCGAAGGCAGCUCGCUGGGACGGUGACUGACGCUGAGGCGCGAAAGCGUGGGGAGCAAACAGG